rnacentral:rRNA from 1 species
AUUGAACGCUGGCGGCAGGCCUAACACAUGCAAGUCGAACGAGGGGCGGACGGGUGAGUAAUGUCUGGGAAACUGCCUGAUGGAGGGGGAUAACUUCUGGAAACGGUAGCUAAUACCGCAUACCAUCAGAUGUGCCCAGAUGGGCUUAGCUUGUUGGUGGGGUAACGGGUCACCACGGCGACGAUCCCUAGCUGGUCGGAGAGGAUGACCAGCGACACUGGAACUGAGACACGGUCCAGACGCCCACGAGAGGCAGCAGUGGGGAAUAUUGGACAAUUGGCGCAAGCCUGAUGCAGCCAUGCCGCGUGUGUGAAGAAGGCCUUCGGGUUGUAAAGUACGUUAAGCUGGGAGGCGUUACGCGCAGAAGAAGCGCCGGCUAACUCCGUGCCAGCAGCCGCGGUAAUUC